AACUGCUUGGAGUGGGAUAACAGCUAGAAUAGCUGCUAAUACCGCAUAAUGCACUAAGUCGCAUGGCUUUGGUUGCCAAAGAUUUAUCGCUCUGAGAUGGCCUCGCGUCUGAUUAGAUAGUUGGCGGGGUAACGGCCCACCAAGUCGACGAUCAGUAGCCGGACUGAGAGGUUGGCCGGCCACAUUGGGACUGAGACACGGCCCAGACUCCUACGGAAGGCAGCAG
rnacentral:rRNA from 1 species